rnacentral:rRNA from 1 species
GACGAACGCUGGCGGCGUGCUUAACACAUGCAAGUCGAACGGAAAGGCCCUGCUUUUGUGGGGUGCUCGAGUGGCGAACGGGUGAGUAACACGUGAGUAACCUGCCCUUGACUUUGGGAUAACUUCAGGAAACUGGGGCUAAUACCGGAUAGGAGCUCCUGCUGCAUGGUGGGGGUUGGAAAGUUUCGGCGGUUGGGGAUGGACUCGCGGCUUAUCAGCUUGUUGGUGGGGUAGUGGCUUACCAAGGCUUUGACGGGUAGCCGGCCUGAGAGGGUGACCGGCCACAUUGGGACUGCGAUACGGCCCAGACUCUUACGGGAGGCAGCAGUGGGGAAUAUUGCACAAUGGGCGGAAGCCUGAUGCAGCAACGCCGCGUGCGGGAUGACGGCCUUCGGGUUGUAAACCGCUUUCGCCUGUGACGAAGCGUGAGUGACGGUAAUGGGUAAAGAAGCACCGGCUAACUACGUG